GCACCUAUAGCUCAGCUGGAUAGAGUGGUGGACUUCGAAUCCAACGGUCGCAGGUUCGAAUCCUGUUAGGUGCACCA
rnacentral:tRNA from 1 species